rnacentral:rRNA from 1 species
GACAGAGGGUGCAAACGUUGUUCGGAAUUACUGGGCGUAAAGCGCGUGUAGGCGGCUCUGCAAGUCGGAUGUGAAAGCCCUCGGCUCAACCGAGGAAGUGCACCCGAAACUGCAGAGCUAGAGUCUCGGAGAGGAUCGUGGAAUUCUCGGUGUAGCGGUGAAAUGCGCAGAUAUCAGGAAGAACACCUAUGGCGAAGGCAGCUCUCUGGGACGGUACUGACGCUGAGACGCGAAAGCGUGGGGAGCGAACAGG